rnacentral:misc_RNA from 1 species
UACGUAGGGUGCAAGCGUUAAUCGGAAUUAUUGGGCGUAUAGGGCGCGUAGGCGGAGAUGUAAGUCGGAUGUGAAAGCCCAGGGCUCAACCCUGGAACAGCAUCCGAAACUGUAUAUCUAGAGGAUAGGCGGAGGAAACGGAAUUCCACAAGUAGCGGUGAAAUGCGUAGAUAUGUGGAAGAACACCCGUGGCGAAGGCGGUUUCCUAGCUUAGACCUGACGCUAAGGCGCGAAAGCAAGGGGAUCAAACAGG